rnacentral:rRNA from 1 species
UACGUAGGCAGCAAGCGUUGUUCGGAGUUACUGGGCGUAAAGGGGUGCGUAGGCGGCUUUUUAAGUUUGGUGUGAAAUCUCCCGCUCAACUGGGAGGGUGCGCCGAAUACUGAGAGGCUAGAGUGUGGGAGAGGAAAGUGGAAUUCCUGGUGUAGCGGUGAAAUGCGUAGAUAUCAGGAGGAACACCGGUGGUGUAAACGGCUUUCUGGACCAUAACUUGACGCUGA